rnacentral:lncRNA from 1 species
UUAACUUCUUGAGUUUCAUUGAAACUGACAUUGCUUCAUUAAUGAAACUAUGACAUCACAAAUGGUCAUCCACAGUCGAAGUGUGUGUGUGUAGGGGCUGGGGGGGGGGGGGGGGGUAAUGAGAGUACAUGAAAAAUCCCAAAGCCGAUCCCAGACAAAAUAGGAGAUUCAUGUCCUUAAAAUAAUCUGCAGUUGUGAAAUGUUUUGGAACAGUUUCUCGAUAGAAGUUAUACCAACAUAAUUGGCUAGUAGUUAAGGCGAGUCAUAGGAUGUCAGUGUGUGAAGCAUGUACAGAAUCUGAUAUACUGAUUAAAAAUGGAGGUCACGACUAAUAAGUAGUAUUAAGUAGUAGUGUCCUACGUCUGAAACAAUUUUGUUCUUUAUUUCUUCUUAUUUAUAAUGGAGGAAUCUUGAUGGCUCAUUUAUAUAACAUUCCAAACACGCAUAUUCAGUGAAUAUAGGCACGCUACUGUAAAUAACAUUUUUACCUUCUAAUAAUGUCUGGCCAUCUAAAAGAAUGCGCGGGAUGUACAAAUCUCUUAAUGACAAACCAGUGGUUUUUUUUUUCCGAUCUGUCUGUGACAUCAUUAACUUCCUCCUUUCUCAUGGUUACAAAUAGCGUUUGUAGCAUCCACCACUGAAUGAACACUCAGGACUGCCGCGAGAAAAGCAGAGAACCAAAUAUAGAAAAGGAAGCACGCAUCAGUAUGUUCAAGUUCAUGCUUGUCAUUGUUGUCCUCAUGCAGAGCUGCAGAGGGGAUGAUCAUAGCAUAAGAGCGGAGCUCAUACCCUACAUUUUGGCUCUCCAAACAGAACUCCGAAGGGAACUUGGAAACUGGUCCUUUACCGGAAAUAUUAGUUUUCCAUCAACCAGAAAAUUGAGACACGCAUGUGACUGUCGGGGUGUAUAUUCAGAGGCACUGAACACAACUUGGCACCAGUUGAAUUCCAACCGCCCAAAUAUCAAAGAUCUGCUCACUAUACUAAAGGAAAACACUGAGUCCCUUUCACGACCCCAAACGAACCACACCUGUCCAAUGGAUGUGAAAGAAUUCAACCCAGAAGCAUUAACAAGAUUAGGCAAUUCCCUCAGGAAACUAAAUAACGAAUGCUAG